rnacentral:ncRNA from 2 species
CGGAAUACAACGGAGCUAGGUGCCCUUAUGCAUAUAAGGGGUAACAGGGAAUCGGGUGAAAAUCCCGAGCGGUCCCGCCACUGUAACCAGGGAAUUCUCUUUUGACAGGCCACUCGCCGGUCGCCGGACGGGGAAGGCAAAAGAGCGUGAUGAUCUGGAAGCCAGGAGACCUACCUAGCUGCCGCACCCAAA